rnacentral:rRNA from 1 species
AGUAAAUAGAUACCCUGGUAGUCCACGCCGUAAACGAUGAGUACUAGGUGUAGGAGGUAUCGACUCCUUCUGUGCCGCAGUUAAACACAAUAAGUACUCCGCCUGGGAAGUACGGUCGCAAGAUUAAAACUCAAAGGAAUUGACGGGGCCGGCCACAAGACAGCGGAGACAUGUGGUUUAAUUACGAAGACAACGCGAAGAACCUUACCUAGACUUGACAUCCCUCGAAUAACGUAGAGAUACGCGAAGCCCUCGGGUCGAGGAGGACAGGUGGUGCAUGGUUGUUCGUCAGCUCGUGUCGUGAGAU